rnacentral:lncRNA from 1 species
AUACCAUGUGCUUGUCAUAGUCUUAACUUAACACUUUAUGAUAUGAUUUCAUCCUGCAGUAAAGCUAAAUUUUUUUUGGAUAUGAUACAACAUAUAUAUAAUAUAUUUGAUGGUUCUAUAAAGAGAUAAAAAAUUUUACUUGAUAAUAUAUCUAAUUUAAUAUUAAAAUUAUUAUCAUAAACACGUUAGAAAAGUCGCGUUG